CCUGAAUCCUGCAGCUCAGUGUUACUGAGAUCCAGUUCUUUCAGUGGUGAGUUUACUGAUUUCAGAGCAGUGCAGAGAGUUUCACAGGAAUUCAUUGUUAGUUUACAGCCAGGUAAUCUACAAGACAAAAACAAACUAUUAAAAAACAGAGAAUAUCUAAUUCAUACUCACAGUUAUCAGUAAUU